ACACAUGCAAGUCGAGCGGUAACAGAAAGUAGCUUGCUACUUUGCUGACGAGCGGCGGACGGGUGAGUAAUGCUUGGGAACAUGCCUUGAGGUGGGGGACAACAGUUGGAAACGACUGCUAAUACCGCAUAAUGUCUACGGACCAAAGGGGGCUUCGGCUCUCGCCUUUAGAUUGGCCCAAGUGGGAUUAGCUAGUUGGUGAGGUAAUGGCUCACCAAGGCAACGAUCCCUAGCUGGUUUGAGAGGAUGAUCAGCCACACUGGAACUGAGACACGGUCCAGACUCCUACGGGAGGCAGCAGUGGGGAAUAUUGCACAAUGGGCGAAAGCCUGAUGCAGCCAUGCCGCGUGUGUGAAGAAGGCCUUCGGGUUGCAAAGCACUUUCAGUCAGGAGGAAAGGGUGUGAGUUAAUACCUCACAUCUGUGACGUUACUGACAGAAGAAGCACCGGCUAACUCCGUGCCAGCAGCCGCGGUAAUACGGAGGGUGCGAGCGUUAAUCGGAAUUACUGGGCGUAAAGCGUACGCAGGCGGUUUGUUAAGCGAGAUGUGAAAGCCCCGGGCUCAACCUGGGAACUGCAUUUCGAACUGGCAAACUAGAGUGUGAUAGAGGGUGGUAGAAUUUCAGGUGUAGCGGUGAAAUGCGUAGAGAUCUGAAGGAAUACCGAUGGCGAAGGCAGCCACCUGGGUCAACACUGACGCUCAUGUACGAAAGCGUGGGGAGCAAACGGGAUUAGAUACCCCGGUAGUCCACGCCGUAAACGAUGUCUACUAGAAGCUCGGAACCUCGGUUCUGUUUUUCAAAGCUAACGCAUUAAGUAGACCGCCUGGGGAGUACGGCCGCAAGGUUAAAACUCAAAUGAAUUGACGGGGGCCCGCACAAGCGGUGAGCAUGUGUUUAUUCGAUGCAACGCGAAGAACCUUACCUACACUUGACAUACAGAGAACUUUCUAGAGAUAGAUUGUGCCUUCGGGAACUCUGAUACAGGUGCUGCAUGGCUGUCGUCAGCUCGUGUUGUGAGAUGUUGGGUUAAGUCCCGCAACGAGCGCAACCCCUAUUCUUUAGUUGCUAGCAGGUAAUGCUGAAACUCUAAGGAGACUGCCCGGUGAUAACCGGAAGAAAGUGGGAAGACACCAAGUAUCAUGGGGCCUUUCUGUGUAGAGGCACACACGGGCUCCAAGA
rnacentral:rRNA from 1 species